rnacentral:lncRNA from 1 species
UAAGAAAUAUAAGAAGAUUUUGGAACUAAAAUUGGUUCACUAGAGAAAUGUUGGUGGUACUGUUGUUGUUGUUGUAGUUGCUGCUGCUGCUCAGGGUACGAGGAUGUCCUGUAGAGAUGCUUUGCAUCCAAAUUGGCCAAUGGUUGUGAAGACCAGCGUUUGUCAUCAGGAAUACUUUCAGUUUCAAGAGGCUGCUGAUCAAGCCAGUGAGGAAAUUCCUCCCCAUGUGUCCAUUCGGCAGCAGAUGAACCUUCAACAACAUAAUGAUAAAUGUCAAUAUUGGUAUGUUGAUCUGCGUAAUUGGUCCCUUCACUGUGAUGAUGUAGGAUUUUCUAAGUGUUUAAAUCUCUUAGUAUUCUCAAAUUUGUAGAUAGAUUUAAUCUUGAUCAUUUAUAUAAUUUAAAUUGUACCGUUAGAUCUAGGAAAGUUUAAUUAUAAAUAGAGAUCUUCCCUUCCAUUUGUAAAUAAUCUUUACAGUAAUUGAUAUUACUGAGAGCAUUUACUCAAAUACUUAGAUGUGCUAUUACUUUUUUGUGGUUUUUUUGUUCAAUCGCUACUUCUUUACUUUUGAGUUUGCUUCUGCUAACUUCGGUACCUUAGAGAAUUUUCUUUAUAAGUUAUCGUCUAAGGCCACAGAUUUGCUAGAGUUAGUUUUAGCCAUAUUGCACUUUCAAAUAGAGAACACAUAUUCAAAUCUGAGAUACGAAUUGACCAAAAAUGAUAAAAUGGACAUAGAAAAUACCCGAUUUGUUCACAAAUUAUUCAGGCCCAUUGUUUAUUUAUAUAAAAAAAAUGAUUGUCAUUAUCAAGCCAAGACUCAAAUAACUUAGAAACUUAAUUAAUUUGAUGACUCUAAAAUUCGAGUUCAAUUUAUAAUACUCUAUUUGUUUCACUAAAAAUGAUUUCCGAAAAAUAAUUUCUGGAAAAUGACUUACUUUUCUAGAAAAGCUAAUUUUUUCUGGUGUUUGGAAGAUUUCCUGAAAAUAUUUCAUAAAAGCUGUUUUCAAUAAAACAAACAUAUAUUUGAGAUUUUGUUAUCUUUUCAUUAUUUAAUUAAAUUUAUUUCAUAAAUUUUAUUUAUAUUUUAAUUAAUCAUGUUUUAGUUUUAAUCAAUCUUAAUUUAUUUAAUUAAGCUUAAUUGUUAAUUUCAUACAUUAGGGAAUAUAAAUUUAUAGAUAUAAAUUUAUGUUUAAUUAAGUUGAAAGUGGUAAAUAUUUAUUUUGAAUAUUAUUUGGAUGAGUAAGUUGAAAAAUAAUUUAAUUUAAUAAAAAUGGAAGUAAGGUCUAAAUUGUAAAAUUUGUAAUUUUUUGAAUUCUAAGGAUUUGAGUAGUAAAAUCUGAAACAUUGAUGUCUGAAACAUUGAUGUAGUAACUAAAUUAUAUGAUUAUGAAAUAUGAAAAUUUGGAAAGUUGAGCAUAAAAUAGUAAAGUUUGAAACUAUAGGGGUUAAAUUGUAAAAAUUUCAAAACUUGAGUUUUAGGACUAAUUUACAUUAUUUGAGAAUUUGCAAUUCUAAAAAAUAGAAUAUGAAAGUUUAACUGUUCAAAAAUUAAGUACUAAUUUUUGGAAAUUUUGACAAUUUUAAUUGUAAGGACUAAAUCAUAAAAUCUGGAAAUUUUAGAAAAUUGAUUGUUUUACAAAACUGUACAAAACGGGAUUUAGAACUAAAUUGUAGAAUAAGAAAAUCUAUUUUUGAAGAAUUAAAUUGUAGAAUAGUAAAAAUUUGGAUUUUAGAGACUAAAUCGUAAAAAAAUAUAAAAUUAGAAUGUAAGAGAUUGUUUUCUUCGACAAUGAAGAGAGCUUCCCCUUUGUCUUUUUUUUUUGUUUCUUCAAAAAUAAAGACAAUGAACAUAACCUUAUCAAUUUAAAAAAUAUCUUACGGGAAAAAAAUUGAUAAGAUAUUUUUCUUAAAAAAAUCUUGAUUUUAUCUUUUUUUGGGAGAAUUGUUUCAUUUGAUAAUUCAUUUUCGAUCAAACAAACUGUAACACCCCUUACCCGCAUUCCUGAUCGGAACAGAGUAUGAGGUAUUACUAAAUUUUUAAAAAAAAUUCAACAGCAUUUCUGCUUAUUUUUGCUUAAACCUCCUGCAAGUUUUCAACACAAUUCAAUAUUCCAACCAAGUUCAGUUGUACAAACAUACAAAAUUUAACCAUUAAUAAACACUACAUUUUAAAUCGAACCAUAACAUAUAUUUACAUGGUGACGCCCCAUUACAUAAGUCGUCUAUACAUGCCAUAAUUUCCAGAAUACUAGUAGCCAAAAUACUCAAACGUGGAUGAUAGUGUAGAUGAUUGUCUGACUCCGUCCAAAUUCCGAGUUGAUGGAAAUCACUAUAAUCAAGGGAAAAAUAAAAACGAGUAAGCAUAUAGCUUAGUAAGUAAACAUAUGACAAAUAAAUAAUUUCUCACAUGACUACACCAUAGUAUAAAUUUAUUCACAAAUAAAUUUCAUUAUUUGUGUAAUUUCCAGCAAGCUGGUUUUCUGCGUCAUGACCACUAAUUUAUUUUUAUUCGGAGCUACAUGGCUUCAAAUUGAAUUCUGUAAAUUUUUCAUGAAACUAGACCCAUAUAUCUUUCUAUUUCAGAAUUUUUGAUCGAGCCAAUUAGUACAGUUUAUUCUUUAAAUCUUCCCCUGUUUCACUGCCCAACAGUCCUGACCUCCCCUUACAAAAUUUCACAUAACUCUCUGUACAAGUUUCAAAAAAUGUUCUCGUUUGUUUCUAUUAAAAAUAGACUCAAAAAGGAAUCCAGUCAUAUAGAUUUCAAGCCAUAAUUAUUUUUUUUAAAUUUUUGGUGAUUUUCCAAAGUUGGAAUAGGAGAUUUCGAAAUCAAUCCAGCCCUGUCUCAGUAAAAUUCAAAUAUCUCCAAAAAUACAACUCUUUUGCUUACUAUAUUUCUUUCAUAUGAAAAUAGACUCAUUCAGCUUCAAUUUCAUAUAUUAUUUAACCUCUAAUUCAUUUUCCACCAUUUAUGGUGAUUUUUCAAAGUUGCCCAACUGCUAUCAUUCAAAACAGUUGGCAUUCAAAUUGUCUCUUUUUGUGUUUUUGAUUUUCCUCCCAUCUUAUACAUGGGUUGAUUAAUUAUCAAACCCAAUAUUCCUCCCAUAAACUUGUCCACCACAUAUAUGAAUAUUCACCUUCCCAAUUUACUCGUUGAACACUCGGAAUGUUAACCGUUAUCGGUGGAUUCCGCACUUAGCAACCACCAAUGAAUCGAGGAAUCAGCACACAGCAACCCCUUGGGGGAAUCAGCACUUAGCAACCCCCUUCACAUUUCAGAUGCGGUGGAAUCAGCACUUAGCAACCACCAAAUGAGUCGGGGAGUCAGCACUUAGCAACCCCUCGGGGGAAUCAGCACUUAGCAACCCCCUUUCACAUUUAAAAUACGGUGGGAUCAGCACUUAGCAACCACCAAUAGGUAGGGGAAUCAGCACUUAGCAACCCCUCGGGGGAAUCAGCACUUAGCAACCCCCUUUCACAUUUAAAAUAUGGUGGGAUCAGCACUUAGCAACCACCAAUAGGUAGGGGAAUCAGCACACAGCAACCCCUUUAUAUGCAAUAUGCUCCGGCCUAUUCCGAGUGUUCAACCAAAAACCGUGUUUUGCAACCCCUUACCACCUUUCUCGAUUUAACAACAUUUUUGGAAUCUUGCCAAACAUUUAUUUUAUAUUCAAAUACAUCUCAACACAUAUCAAAUAAUACCAAAAUAAUACAUUAAGUCACGUGUUUACUUACCUCGGUGCAAAAUAUCGUAAUUUUGCAAUUCACUCAACUAUCUUUUCUUUUCCUCGUUUGAGAUAAUCUUCCCGUUUUUCUUGAUCUAUAAUGGCAAAUUUAACUCAUUUAAUGUUCACAUUUAUUGAAAUAAUCCACCACCCAACUUUUUGAAAAAUUACAAUUUUACCCCCAAACUUCUGCAUAAUUACACUUUUGUCCCCAAGCUCGGGAAUUAAACUUCAUCACUUAUUCUUAUGUUUUAUGACAUGCUGAACAUUUUUCGCUUCUAUGGCAACAUCAAAUUCUCACUCUAGCACAUACUUUUGAACAUUAACAAUUUUUACCGAUUAUGUCAAUUUACCCGUUUUCGUUUAAAAUCGCUUAGCAAAAGUUGUUUAACAUAAUUUCUAGCUUCAUAUUCCACCAUAAAACAGAAAAAUAAACACUUUUCACCUAUGGGUAUUUUUCCAAAUAUAAACCCUAACAUGAAUUAUUGAUAAAAUAAGCUAAACCGAGCUACGAGGAUUUCAAAAAUGCAAAGAACAUUAAAAACGGGGCUAAGAUGCACUUACUAUGAGCUUGAGAAAGCAAAGAAACCCUAGCUAUGGUGUCUUCCAAAAUUUGGCAGCAACUAUGGAGAAGAUGACACCAUUUCUCCAUCUUUUUCCCAUUUUAUUUCUUUUUAUUACUAAAUGACUAAAAUGCCCCCAUUUAAAAAAAUCUAUUUCACCCAUUUCUUAUGUCUAUUUUUGUCCAUCAAUUAACUAAUGGUCUAAUUACUACAUAAGGACCCCCAACUUAUAAUCUCAUAACAAUUAGACACUUCUAACAUGUAGAACUCAACUUUGGCACUUUUUACAAUUUAGUCCUUUUCACUAAAUUGAGUGCCCAAACGUCGAAAUUUUCGAACGAAAUUUUUCCGUAAAAUUGUAGACCAUAAAAAUAUAACAAUAACCAUAUUUUCACUCGUCAGAUUUGUGGUCCCGAAACCACUAUUCCGACUAGGCCCAGAAUCGGGCUGUUACACAAACAACAUAAAAUAAAGAAAACAUUUUAUAUGUAAACAAAGUAUAAGAUGUCAUCUUCCUUUUAGGACCAAAGCGUAAUGUUGAAAUUGGAGUGGUAUUACUGUUUCAUAGUUCACCAUUUUUGAAACUUCAAUGCAAGAACAAGUCAACAAAUUUAAAAAGACAUCAGCGCUUGAAAAAAAUUGGAAUCCUGAGGUAGACAUUUGCAGUUGCCUUGAAACAUCAUUACAUCAUAUCCCAAAUCAGGGGUAGAGUUAGGGGCGCUUGCACUGUCUCGACCCCAAAAAUAACUUUUUCUAUUUAAAUAUUUUCAUAAUUGAUAAAAUAUUAAAUUAAUAAUAAUAAAAUUGAAUUUUGACUUUUAGGAAUGAUAGAAGUUUAAUUUUAUCUUUUAAUCAUUCCUCAACCAUAGCCUCAAUUCCAAGUUCUUGCAAGAGAUGGAGAAAGUUAUUAGCGACUCUGUUUUACUAGCUUCUGAAAUUUUAUUAUUGUCUUGUUUUUACUUACAAUCUGGCACUGCUUCUGACACCAUAACACCAUCGAAAUCCAUCAAAGACCCUGAAAUUAUAAUCUCCCAGAGUGGAGUUUUCCGAUUGGGAUUCUUCAGCUUUGCUAAUUCCAGCAAUCGUUAUGUAGGGAUAUUGUACCAUCAAAUCCCCGUACAAACAGUGGUAUGGGUAGCAAACAGAAACAAGCCUCUCAAAGACUCUUCUGGGAUUCUCAACAUAUCAGAUGAUGGCAACCUUGUUGUUUCCAAUGGAAAAGCUGAGAUUCUUUGGUCAUCAAAUAUUACGAAUUUGGUUCCUAAUGCAACAACUGCCCAGCUUUUAGACUCUGGAAACCUUGUCCUUAGUAAUGGUGAGGAUGGAGCAAGCAGCUUAUGGGAGAGUUUUGAAGAUCCUUCUAAUGCCUUCCUUGAAACUAUGAAGAUCAGAACUGAUGUUAAGAAAGGUCGUAAAGUGGAGCUGAAAUCAUGGAAAAGCAUUGAUGAUCCAUCUGAUGGUAGCUUUUCUUUUGGCUUUGAACCUUUCAAUAUCCCAGAGCUUGUCAUUAGGAACAAUAACAAGCUCUAUUUUCGGAGUGGUCCAUGGAAUGGAAAUACCUUUAUUGGUGUUAUUAUGAAGACUGUUUAUAUUGAUGGGUUUCAUGUUGUUGCAGAUUAUCAACAACAAACGUACUAUUUCACUUAUGAGUAUUCUGAUAACUAUAGGUUGAAGUACUAUGAACUGGAUUCUCAAGGAAAAUUAUUUGAGCGGACAUGGGAUGGGGGGAAAGGGGAAUGGAUAAACAGGUACUCUACUACUCUAACAGAAUCUUGUGUUUAUGGACAGUGUGGGCCAUUUGGGAUCUGCGAUCGAACAAAACAACCCAUUUGCAGUUGCUUAAAGGGGUUUAAACCUAGGAAUAUAGAGGAAUGGAGUAGAGGUAAUUGGAGUGGUGGGUGUUUUAGGACUACCCCUUUACAAUGCCAAAGGGAUAAGAACAAUGGCAGUGAAGCAGGCCAAGGAGAUGAUGAUGGGUUUUUGAAGCUGCAGACGAUGAAAGUGCCGGCAUUUCCGGACCGAUCAUCAAUAAAUAACGGUGAAUGCAAAGAUCAAUGCAUGAAGAACUGUUCGUGCGUGGCUUAUGCGUAUGAUGCUGGCAUUGGUUGCAUGUUUUGGAGUGGAGAUUUGAUUGAUAUGCAGAAAUUCUCCACUCAAAGAGUCAAUCUUUACAUUCGUCUACCAUCUUCAGAGCUUGGUAAACUAGUCUUCCAUGUCGACCAUGUGUUGAAUUGCCUCAAUUAAUCUGCUUUUUUGGUGUUGAAGUUUUAUUAACCAAGUUUUUCGAUUUGCAGAUAAAGGGAAAAGCACUAAAGUUAUUGUUAUUACAGCAGUAAUUGUGGGUAUAGUAACCAUUACGAUUAUUAUGCUCUUCUUAUGGUGUUGGAUGGCUAAAAGAAGAGGUAACAUCUCUAUCUUUAUUUAUUAGUUAUUAAGAUAUUCAAACUCAACUCCAUUACUCUGUUUGAAAAUGAUUGAAUCCAAUUCGCAUUUUUUUUUUUUAAUUAGGUAACUCUGAAUUCAGUGUAUCUCUAAUUUAGCAAUUUGCAUCUCAGGAAGGAAACAAAAACACAAACAGAUCAAACUCCAACUCAACAAAGGAAAUGCAAUGACAAAAUUUUCUAGUGAAAAUGUGGGAGAAUAUUCAAUCGGAGUUAAACUCCAGCAGCUGCGGCUAUUCAAUUUCGAAGAACUCGCCAUCGCGACGAGCAACUUCGAUCACGCAAAAAAGCUAGGGCAGGGUGGUUUCGGUCCAGUUUAUAGGGUAAUUAAUAAUGGCGAUUUCCAGCUAAUCCAGAGUCAGUGAAAUGACAUUUUUCUUUUUGCAGUCAAGUCUUGUGAGCUGAAUAUUGUGUGCAGGGAAUAUUAAGUGAUGAAAAGGAAAUAGCAGUGAAGAGAUUAUCGAAAGCUUCAGGGCAAGGAUUAGAAGAAUUUAUGAACGAAGUGGAAGUGAUUUCUAAGAUUCAACAUCGAAAUCUGGUUAAAUUGUUUGGGUGUUGUGCUGAAGCAGAAGAGAAGAUGCUCGUCUACGAGUAUAUGCCCAACAAAAGUUUGGACACUUUUGUCUUUGGUUAGUAACUCACGCUAAUCCUCUUUCUACUAUUUUCGAAACUCAUAUUAAGCCCCAAUUAAAUUUAAAAUCAAACAGGAUGAAGUCAAAACAUUUCUAUCAUAAUUUUAAAUUAAUGUAUACAUCUCUAUCAUCUUUUCUUCUCUCGUCUUUCUAAUUUAGAAAGAUUAGUUUUUAUACAUUAAUGAAAAAUGAUCAUCCUUUAUAUUUUAUUUCCUCUCACUUUUCUUCUCAACUAAGUACACUCAAAAUUUAUUCUCUUUUCAGUUUUCCAUUCUCUACUCUCAUCCUUUCACUUUUCUACCCAACCAAACACACCCUUGGUCUAUUCCAAGAUUUAAAUAGUAAUUGUUGCUCAAUAAUUAUUUUAAUUGAUCGAUGUAACAUCAAUUACAGUUACAAUCAUAAUGAAUACAAUAUGGUAGAAAAUACAAUGAUGGUUUUAGUUAGAUCCUCGGUUAUAAGAAUUAAUUUUUCAUUUUUAAGGUCUUACCAUUUAGUUUUUGUUGUAGAUCCAAUUAAAAAAACCGUCUUGGAUUGGAGAAAACGCUUUAACAUUAUUGAAGGGAUCAGCCGAGGAUUGCUUUAUCUUCAUAGAGAUUCAAGACUAAAAAUUAUACAUAGAGAUCUAAAAGCAGGCAAUGUUUUACUCGAUCAAGAGUUAAAUCCAAAAAUUGCAGAUUUUGGGAUGGCGAGAAUUUUCGGAGGAGAUGAAAAUCAAGCUAACACUAAAAGGGUUGUUGGAACUUAGUAAGUUGGAAUAUCCUCCCUGUCUUUUCUUUUCUUUUUGUUCAUUUUUUUUCCACUAAAGUAUGGUGUAGAUAUGUCUAUGAUCGAGUCUGGCCAUCUCAUGAUGCUUAAAGAAAAUACAUGCCUAAAUUGGAAUAGGGUCUAGCUUUGCUCAGUCUGUUGGCUUAUUUUAUUGUUUAAAAAAAGGCAUUGUAAAAAUUUAAAUAUAUUUAAGUCAAAUUAUGGUUUUCGCCAUUAUAAAUUGGUCAAAUUUGAGAUUUAGUAUCUAUGCUUUAAUAUGACAUUUUUUGGUUCCUCUAUUUUUAUUUUAUUAUUAGUAAGUUCAAAUAUGUAACACGUGUUUUUUACAAAUAUCUCUUCCAACUCGUCAUAUUGACAUAGAACUAUAUUCCUUCCAACUCAUCAUAUUGACAUGGAACUUUUUAUAAUAGAACCGUUGUUUUUAAGAAAAAUCUACACUAGUAUUUAACAGGAAUAGUUAAUAGUAUUUAUUUAAACUAACUAAAGGCAUUAUAAAAAUAGAGGGGUUAAUUCAUGUCAAAUUAAAAUAUAUGUGCUAAAUCUCAAAUUUAAGUAUAGUAGCGGGAUCAAAACUAAAAUUUUAUGUUAUAUUCAUAUUCUUGUAUGAUUAAAUUUAAAUAAAAAUGUUUUUAUUAUUUAAUUCUAAUUUAGACCCGAUUUAAACUAGGAUUGUAAUGGUGGGGGGUUUUUUUGUAAUGGUUAUUUUUUUUAAUGUUAAAAUACAGUGGUUAUAUGUCUCCUGAGUAUGCAAUACAAGGGCGAUUUUCAGAGAAAUCAGAUGUGUUCAGUUUUGGAGUUCUACUGUUAGAGAUUGUUAGCGGAAGAAAAAACACAACCUUGUUCAACAAUCAGGAUUAUUUUAGCCUCUUGGGAUAUGUAAGUUUAUAAGAUAAUUAGAAAUGUUGGAAGAUCGAAUUAGGGGUGUAUGUCAUCAUAUUUGCAAGCUAUUUGAGCUGCUCAUGCAAGCUGAAUUUGAGUAUCUUAAUGCUUGAAUAAAAUAGUUCACGAGCUGAAUUUGAGAAAUCCUAACACUUGGAUUGAGUAGCUUGCAAACCUAAUUAAGCUUCUUCUUUUUUUCAAUUAAUAAUGAGAAUUUCUGAUUCAAACUCAAGUUCAAGUACAAACAAUCAAGUUUGAAGUUGAACAUGAGAAUGAAACCCAUUUUAGACUUGGGUAAACAAGCUUAAUCAAGAGAGAGCAGUUCAACCUUUAUAUUGAAUUGAGCUGAUCAAACUCUUUUGAAGCUUUGAGUUUAGAAUUUCGAGUCUAAGUUAAAUUGGAUAAUUUAAGCAUUAAUUUAGACAAACUUUUUUUCUGUUUAUAGGUCUGGAAACUAUGGAACGAUGGCAACAUUUGGAGCUUAGUAGACAAGGUGGUUUUGGAGCCAAAAUCUAAUUUAAAGAAUGAGAAAGAAAUAAGGAGAUGCAUACAUAUUGGAUUGCUAUGCGUUCAAGAAUAUGCUAACGAUAGGCCCACUAUGUCUACUGUUGUUUCAAUGCUUAACAGUGAGAUUUCAAAUUUUACCACACCAAAACAACCUGCUUUCACGCAAACCCCACUAAUCACCCAUGAUGAUCAAAAUAGAGUUUCAGUUAAUGAUGUAACUCUUACCGACUUUGAUGGCAGAUGAAGGUACAAAUUAAUUACUUUUAAUUUUUAGAAAUAAAAUUGUAAGUAUUGAAAAGAUAUAAUUUAAUUGUUUGUAGUUUAGAAAUAAAAUUGUAAGUAUUGAAACUGAUAAGUGAUAAAAGUAACAUGUGUUAAUUUCGUUCUUAAUACGUUUAUGGAUGAUUAUUUAUGCAAAAUGGUUAAUUUUAUGCUCCUGAUCCUUUAAAUUAAAUGUUUCUAUACUUAGGAGAGCAUUUGGGAGCAAAAGGAGCAAAAAACGAGUGAAAAUCAGACAUUUUGAGCAAAUUUUAGAAACCACACGGGCUGGGUCUUCCCACACCAGCUGGACACACGAUAAUGUGCUAGACCGUGUCGAUUUCACGAUUCACAUCUCAAACACGCGGAAAAAUGAAAUUUUUAGGCUUUCUAAGCAUUCUAAAGUCUAUAAAUACCAAAUAGAAGAAGAGAAAAGUAAGCCAACAGAGAAUAUUGAAGAAAACAACUCGAAGAACACCAUUGGAGCCAACUCUGAAGCAAAUUUCUAUCAAGAUUAAAGACCUCCUUUUAAUUUCCUUUGAAGUUUUCGAACACCAUAAGAGAUGUUACCUCUUCUUUUAGCCAUCCAACACCAUUCACAAUUAUGAACUAAUUUCCUAGAUACCUAAAGAAGAUGAACCCUAUGAUGAAUUAUAUUAUUUGAUUUCUAUUUUAUGUGAUAAAUAUUUGAUUCUUGUUCUCAGUUAUGUGUGCUUAUCUAUUGUUUUAAUAUUUUUGGGAUAUUAAUUCAUGUUUAAUGUACUUAAAUCAAAGGAGAAAAAGUCUCUGUUUAAGAGUAGAACUAGCAUAAUUGAGUGGAGUUGCAUGCAAUCCUAGAAACAGGACGACAUAAAUCUACUGGAUUAAAGUCAAAUUUAAUAAGGGAAUCUAUAAAUCGAGUUAAUGCGACAAUUUAAUUAGAAAGAAAUUUCAAUUAAUCAACCUAAAUUCAGUUGUUCUUACUCUCGAAAGAGAUACUAGUUUAAUUUAUGGGUUUCUACGGAUCAAGAUACCAAGUGAAUAAAUCGUUUGAUUCAGAUUCAUAAUGAUAGACGAAGUCUAGGUGGAUUCUUUCCUGGGUAUUGUCUCGCUUAUUGGUUAUUAUUUAAUUACUUUCCUAAUUUAUUCUCUGUUGAGUUCAUUAGUUAAAUUAAUUUAGUAAUCUUAGUUUAAAUAAAUCAGUCCAAGUUGUCGGUUAAAUAAUAGGAAAAUGGUAGCUAUACUAGUACUUUUAGUCCUCGUGGAUACAAUAUCUCUACUCACCGUAACUAUACUAUUUAUCGAUAGGUGCACUUACAUUUGUCGUAUUUUUAGUUAGUCACGUGAUACAUCAAAAGAUUUUCUUUAUAAUUUCGUUUUGAUAAGAGUUGUCAAUUUAUUGGCUCAAAUCAAUUGUAAGUUUACAAUUACACUUAAACAUGUAAGAACAUGAAAACUCAAUCUAGUUAACCCAAAUCCAAAUUCAAGUCCAAUCCCAACUUAAUUUGAACAUAAAAAAUCAAUAAGUUGGAACUCCUCCAAAUCAAACCGAAAAUAGCUUAAAUCUAAAGUGUUUCAAACUUAAAAUGACUUAAACUCGAAAUAACCCACAUACUAACUCAUUUGUCCCCUAAAGGCUGCAAGAAAUCUCUCACAAUUUGUGUAUAACUUAUCUCAUCUAUUGAAUCCUAUAAGUAUGAUUUAUCUUCCUUGUCUAUCUCAUCUAUUGAAUCUGAUAAGUAUGAUUUAUCUUCCUUAAUAAGGUGAGUUCAUAUAGGCAAGAUCUAGGAUGUAAUUUUGUCUUUUAACUACCUCAAUUUAACUUAAAUUUAAUUAUAUAAUGUAAAAAUAUUAAUAUAAAAAUGAUUUUUUAUAAAAGCUAGCCGAUCCAACUAGGCGAAUUUGGACUUACCUAGUUAUUGAAUUGUUCUUCUAGUUGUUAUAAAUUGGAUGUGUUUGUUUGUAGAGGUGAAUAAUCCCAAAUGAAAAACUCCACCCCGGGAUAUUACAAAUUUAGGGUGUUUGUGUAACGACCCGAUAGUCACAGGUGUCGGAAAGUGCAUUUUCGAGACUCCGUUAUUGUAAAUAGGACUCGUAAAUAUUUUUAAUAAAUAUUUACGAAGUUAGUUGUGUAGUUAAUUAGGAGGUGAAACUGCAUGAAUUAAGAGUAAUUAGGUAAAAAGACUAAAUUGUAUAAAGGGUGAAAGUUGAAUUAUAGAUUAAAGAAAAAUUAAAGGGACCAAAGGAGAAAUUAUGCCAAUGGUCAUGAUUGAGGCCGCAUAAGUGUAUAUAUAUUAUAAAUAUUUAAAGUUAAUAUAUAUAUAUUAUAAUAUUAAAGCUUAAAAGUUAAGUAUAUAUAUUAUUAUAUUAUAAUGAUAAAGUAAAAGAAAAACAAAUGGAAAAUGAAGGAGAGAAAGAAACGAAACAAAGAAGGAAAGAAAGAAAAGAAAAAAAGAAAGAAAGAAGGAGAAUAGUUAGGGUUUCAAGGGUUCAAAGCUCAAUUAGUUAGUCAAUUUAGUCUCUUUUUUUUUCUAAUUUUUAUGUUUUUGGAAUUCUGGUAUUAAAUACUACCCGACCCAUGUCAAAAUUUUAGAAAUUAUUAAGUUUUUAAGUGAUGUUUUUGUUGAAUAAUUUAGUAUUGGGGAUUAAAUUGAUAGAUUUUUAAGUUAGAAAUGAAAAAGGAUUGAAUUGUAGAAUAAAUUGUAAAUUUUGAGUAUUAGGGACUAAAUUGUGAAAAUUUUGAAAUUUGGGGGUUUAAGUGAAAUUAGAGAGUUAAAUCUAAUCUAAAGUGGAAUUUGUAUGAAAAUAUAAGAUUGAUUGUGAAGAAAUAAAAUUAGUCUCGGUUUAGGGACUAAAUUGGAAUUUAGGCAAAUAUUGAGUAAAAAUUGAAAUAUUAAAUAUGAGAUUGAAUUGUAUUGUAUUGAUGAAUUUUAAUUGUUUUAAAUCCGUAGCUAACGUCAUAUCGAAAUCCUCGACUAAAAAGGGAAAAGAUAAAGUCGACGAGGAAUAGCUCGGAAUUUCUAGUUUGUAUUUAUAUAAUUCGAAUCUAAUUAUUAAUUGUUGUAUUUUGAUUAAAUGUUAUGGUAAGUGAUUAAGGUGAGAAUUAUUGUGUUUUACAAUUGAAAUGGAUUGAUUUAGCAUGUAAUGAAUUUAUUGAAUUUAUAUUGAUUGAAUUGGUAUAUAUAUAUAUAUAUUGAGUAUAUUGAUUAUUUGAAUUGAAAUUUAUAUUGGUUGUAUUUGGAAAGUGAAUUGAAAUCCUAUUAAUUGUAUCGGACUAAGUCGGACAUAGAUGGCAUGCCAUAGGAUUGGAAGAGUUCAGGAAUUUCUUCGACUUCGAGUCGAUGAGACACUGGGUGUCAAUUUAUUACUUCGGAUUAAUUCGAUGAGGCACUGGGUGCCAAUUUACUUCGGUUUAACCGAUAAGACACUGGGUGUCAAUUUAUUACUUCAAAUUAUCUAAUGAGGCACACGGGCAUGUGAUUGGACUGUGUGAGACACAUGGCCUGACCACACGGGCGUGUGAACCCUACAGCUUUGAAAAAUUUUAAUAUUUUAUGAAAAAAAUUUUAAGUUUCCGAAUUAGUCCUGAUUUGUUUCUAACUCGUAUUUUGGGCCUCGAGGGUUCAAAUAAGGGACAUUAUGUAUGAAUUUAAUUGAUUUUUGACCUGAAUAUUAUGUGAUAUCAGUGUAUAAAUUUAUGUCUGUUUGAUCGAUAAAUUUCAGUAAUAUUCCGAAACCUUAUUUCAAUGACGGAUGUGGGUUAGAAGUGUUACAGUUUGAUGGUGUUAUGGUGUCUAAAGCAGUGGCAGAUAUUAAGUAAAAGCAAGAUACUAAAGCUAGUAAAACAGAGCAACUAAUAGUUUUUCCCAUAAUCUCUUCCCAGAACUUUGGAAUUAUUUGGAAUCUUUAAGGGAUUACCUUAAAUGAACUCAACCCAAUUUAUUUUNNNNNNNNNNNNNNNNNNNNNNNNNNNNNNNNNNNNNNNNNNNNNNNNNNNNNNNNNNNNNNNNNNNNNNNNNNNNNNNNNNNNNNNNNNNNNNNNNNNNCUCAAAUCCAAAGUAAAUUUACAAUUACACUUACACAUGAAAACUCAAUCUAAUUAACACACAUCUAAAUUCAAGUCUUAUCCCAACUUAAUUUGAACAUAAAUAAUCAAUAAGUUGAAACUCCUCCAACUCAAACCGAAACCGAAAAUGACUUCAAUCCAAAGUGUUUCAAACUUUAAAUAACUCAAACUCGCAUACUAACCCAUAAUGUUUUGAACCCAACCUAAACAACUUGACUAGUAAAUCCGAGUAUCUCAAUCCCAAAAUAACUUUAACUUAAAACUAACCCAAAUUAAAAACUAUCUCAAACCCUAAUCCAAAAUUACUCAAAAACUUUAUUAUUUGAUCCAAAUUGAUUCUAUGCAAACCCAACUCAGAUCGAAACAUACUUUAAUGGACUACUCCUGAACGUUAUCACUUUACUUUUGGUUACCGAAUUCUGUCCCUAAACUUUUGUUUUUAUUGUUAGUUGCUUGACUUUAAUUUUGAAUUCGAAAAUGAAAUUUUAUAAUAAAAUCUUUGGAACAUUAAGAAAAAGCUAUAAAGAAGGAUUAGACUUUGUACCAACACCAAUAUCAAAAUGCAGCAUUAAUAUAUAAACAGUCUUCUCUUUAAUAAAAUGAGAGGGGGGUGGAAGGAUUACAAACAAUAAAUUCGCAGGAUCAAAACAAAAGCUUCAAGGUCACCAUUAUGAGAGCUAAACUGACCAUUUUAGCUCAGCAGGCAAAACUAUGAUACUCAUACUUCCCUCCUGUAAAGCUACAACCAACAACAUCGAUCUGCAUUGCCUAUUAAUCGGUGUCUUCCACAUUGCACGGUGACGACUAUUCCGAGAGAGACAUCCAUCCCGCCUUUGGGAAAUAAUACUCAAGAUACGGGAUAUCUGUAUUGAACCCUGUACAUGCUAACCAACUAACAUCCCCAUACCACAAAUUUCACAACAGAGCAUCAAAAUAAGCUCCAAUCUAUAUGGUAAGGACCCAAGGAAAGAAAAAAUUUCUAGCAAGUUUCUAUCAUGAUACACAUAGGCCCACUUCAAUGUUUUUUCAUAAUAAUAAAAAAGGCAUAAAAACACAAGUAAUAAAACUAAAAUCUCAAAGGAAAUUGACCUUUACUUUAAAAAGUAUCUUUGGAACUUCACCUGAACCAUUGUCUGUGCUCCAUUAUAGACAUAUCAUGUAAAACGGUAUGGCUAAUUGAAUUCCUUUCAGCACAUGGCAUUCACUUGCGCCAUUGUGUACUUCACAAAGUCGCCUUCUUGGACACGUUUGGAUUUUAACUUCUCCUAGGUACUGCUUAUCUAUCAUGACUGCCCUACAAGCAUAGGCCGUUGAGAGAGAUCCAAAAGCUGCUUUUUCUGCUGGUCAUUAAGGUGGGGUAAACAUGCAUGUAAGAGAUCAACCGGCAUUUCUCUUUUAAUAGCUUUGGCUGAAUCUGAUUCAUCAAUUGCCAUAUUUGGUUUGGCCUGCAUUCGCAAGGACUGCAUCACAGUGUCGUAUUUGUUUAUGCAAUACUUGGUAAGAAGGUUAAAGAAUUCAUCAAACGAGGCCUUCCAAAGGGACAGAUUAGUCGUAUUAUAAUUGCCCGCAGCACUAGAAUCAGUCAUGAGCUUUGUUGCCCUAUCAAGAACAGACUUAAGAAUAAAAGAUGUGUUGGAACAUUGGCAGCAGCAAAAGAAGAGAACAGAGAGAACAGAACAAUGAAACUAGAUACAAGAAAAAUUUUACUUGCUCACAAAUGUGCAGCAAGGGAGCAUAUGGCUGAUAGCUCAUUCAACUCAUUCAUUCAACUAGAAAAACAAUAUAUUUAUAGUCAAAUACAUCACCAAAUACUACCUACUACCACUAAUCAUACUUUGAAACAAGUAAAACUUAACUUGCACACAAGCUGAUUAUGUCAAUCAGCACCUAAAAACAUCAAAACAAUACCAACUUAGUUCAUUUUCAACUUAGUAGCUUAACAAAGUAACUAAACAACCUUGUUAUUACAGUANNNNNNNNNNNNNNNNNNNNNNNNNNNNNNNNNNNNNNNNNNNNNNNNNNNNNNNNNNNNNNNNNNNNNNNNNNNNNNNNNNNNNNNNNNNNNNNNNNNNNNNNNNNNNNNNNNNNNNNNNNNNNNNNNNNNNNNNNNNNNNNNNNNNNNNNNNNNNNNNNNNNNNNNNNNNNNNNNNNNNNNNNNNNNNNNNNNNNNNNNNNNNNNNNNNNNNNNNNNNNNNNNNNNNNNNNNNNNNNNNNNNNNNNNNNNNNNNNNNNNNNNNNNNNNNNNNNNNNNNNNNNNNNNNNNNNNNNNNNNNNNNNNNNNNNNNNNNNNNNNNUUUGGAUGUAAACUGAGGCCAUCCAAAAUCACUCUUCAGUGCCCCACUAUCAAAGCCUCGUAGACUCUGCCUACCUUUCUGAGCUGAUUUGGCUCUUUGAUCUCUCAGAUCACCAAUACCAAGUAUAGCUUCAACCUUGUUCAUUACAGGUGGGGACGGAGAAAGAUGAGGAUUAAAUUGUUGUGACUGAAUCCCAGAAAAGUGGCUAAAUGAAGGCUGAACAGGAUGCUGCAGUCUCUGCUGGUGCGACUGCAGCUGUGGCAUUAACUGUGGUGGA